rnacentral:antisense_RNA from 1 species
AUUGGAUGAUGUCAUGGAAAUGUCAAAGAAAGAGUGACACCUGAGAGAAAAUUUGAAAGAUGAAAGCAGAUGCACUAAAAAGGCCAAUCAGUCAUCCAGACAAGAAUUUACCUCAUGAGAGUCAACUGUGCGCAUCUCUUCCCAACAUUGUGAUUGGUUAUGUCAUGUUGAUAGCUUGAAAUCGGACAUAGUAUGUUCAUUUACACCCCAGAAGUCUCAGGUACUACAAACUAAACCUUCCCCUCUCUCAUCCCCCAGCGCUGUUAAUAUGGAAACUGGUCUAAUAUGGAAAACAGGUGAACAUGGAGCUGCUUUGUUUGACUCAGGGAUGAGAGAUACCCAGGUCCUAAUUACUUGUCUUUAACUUUCCUUAGGGAGUACUAAUUUGGGAGUCAUUGUUCUAAACAAUUAAAGUGAAGUAACUGUC